CCUACGGGAGGCAGCAGUGAGGAAUAUUGGACAAUGGGCGCAAGCCUGAUCCAGCCAUGCCGCGUGCAGGAAGAAGCAUCUAUGGUGUGUAAACUGCUUUUGUACAGGAAGAAACACUCCCUCGUGAGGGAGCUUGACGGUACUGUAAGAAUAAGGACCGGCUAACUCCGUGCCAGCAGCCGCGGUAAUACGGAGGGUCCGAGCGUUAUCCGGAAUCAUUGGGUUUAAAACGGGUCCGUAGGCGGUUUUAAUAAGUCAGUGGUGAAAUCUGGUCGCUCAACGAUCAAACGGCCAUUGAUACUGUUAGACUUGAAUUAUAAGGAAGUAACUAGAAUAUGUAGUGUAGCGGUGAAAUGCUUAGAUAUUACAUGGAAUACCAAUUGCGAAGGCAGGUUACUACUUAUGGAUUGACGCUGAUGGACGAAAGCGUGGGGAGCGAACAGGAUUAGAUACCCUGGUAGUCCACGCCGUAAACGAUGGAUACCUAGCUGUCGUAGNAUCUGAGUGNGUAGACGAAGUAGAUAAGUA
rnacentral:rRNA from 1 species